rnacentral:rRNA from 1 species
UACAGAGGGUGCGAGCGUUGUCCGGAAUCACUGGGCGUAAAGGGCGCGUAGGUGGUGGCUUAAGCGUGCGGUGAAAGCUCGGGGCUCAACUCCGAGUCGGCCGUGCGAACUGGGCUCACUGGAGCAUAGUAGAGGCAGGUGGAAUUCCGGGUGUAGCGGUGGAAUGCGUAGAGAUCCGGAAGAACACCGGUGGCGAAGGCGGCCUGCUGGGCUAUGGCGUGACACUGAGGCGCGACAGCGUGGGGAGCAAACAGG